UAAAAAAAAAAACUUGUACCUGACUUUCCACCAGCUUGAGGAGAUAAUGACUGCUUUUCUUAAAUUUUGGGGUGAACUAAUCCUUUAACUUCGAUGCUUCCAAAUAUUCAUUUUGAGUGGGGAGCAGCGCAAACACAGGCUGAAUCAUACAACAACAAAAACACGAAUCCUCACAAAAGUGUCAGGAGAUCUUCGUGAUGUCGUGUCCGCCACCACCUGUCUGUCCUCGGGCACCUCCUGGCAUUCAAACGCAAAAAAAAAACAAAAAACAAAAAAACAAUGCGUGUACUCCCCCAAUCCUCCCUCCUCCCCCGCCAAUCUGUUUAAUCGAUCAGCCUCGGACGACCUGUGACACUAACUAGAUUACCAAUUCACACAUCACUCGCUUCUCUGCAGGUCUAAUCGGUCCUGACAGAAACAGAGCCCGGAGCCCUCCUCCCACGCGCCUUCUCCAGCCCACUCCUCUCUUUAUCUGGGAGCUCCUCCGCUCCGAUCCUCAGAGCAGCAGGCGCCCCGGUCAGCGCAGCUCUCUCCUGCAUCCGCGGAGAGGACUGGACUCGGUCGCCUUGUUGCACCAUCAACAGUUUCUUUCUGGAUUUUUUUUAUCCCUCCCGGCCGCCAACAUGAGACUUGUUUGGGUUUUUGUUGCGGUUGCGGCUUUGCUCACAGGUAAGGUGGAAGAGUGAUGGAGCUUUUUUAUUUUUUUAUUAUUAUUAUUAUUCCCUGCAAGCGUGCUGCAAGUUAGUGAGCGUCAGUUCAGGACCAUGGACAGAGACUGCUUUACUUAAAUGCAUGCAAAUCCAUCCUGCAAAUGAGAAACCUUAACAUGAGCACUUUUUUUCUCUCUAAUGCAGAAAAUCAAGCGCUUCCAGUGGCAAAAGAAGGACAGAGAGAAGAUGUGGUACGCAUUUUAUAGAUGAAGUUUAAAACAAGAGCUGCGCAGAAAUUGAAGCCAGAUAAAGCAGCAUGUGAGGGAUCAGCUUCAUAUCUUUAUUUAUGUUUUGCCUGUUGCAGGUAACACGAUGCUUGGUUGAAGUCUUGUCCAAAGCUCUCUCCAAACCGGACUCCCAGCUGGAUCAGCAAUGCAAAGAAAUCCUCCAAGCAGGGGUUAAAAACGCUCCACUGGACAAAAAGACUACGGAGGGGACGGCGACCAAUGGAGAGGCGGUCAGAGGUCACCCCGAGGGGACUGAGGCAAAGGGAGCAGACGUUAAAGACAUCGAGGCUCUCCUGAAAUCUGUCGAGGAAAAACGAGAAAUCCCAGAAGACGAGCGCAGCCAAGAGUCCUGGAGCCUGGGCGACGAGAAGGACAAGAGACACGAGGACGAGGCGGAUGAAGCAGAGCGGGAGAAGAGAAGCGGCUGGAGGCCCGGAAGACACCACCAACAACGGGCGCACAAACGAGGGGAAGAGGAAGAAGAGGAAGACAACCAGCGCAGUCAGGAGAGCUGGGGGCUGGAGAAGAGGAGGUUAGACGAAGAGGAGGAAGACAAGGAGAAGAGGAACUGGAGACCCGGAAGAUACCACCAAAGGAAACAAAAACGAGAUGAGGAAACUUUAGGAGAUGAGAGGGAGGAGCCCGAGGAAGAACGUAGCCAAGAGUCCUGGGACAUAGCCAAAAGGCACGGGACCACGCAUCGCUACCUACACAAGACAAAGCUCCACAAACGUGGCGAGGAGGAUGAAGACGGCGAGCGCAGCCAGGAAUAUUGGGGCCUUGACGACGAGAGGGACAAGAGGGACUGGAGGGCCGGAAGGUUCCACCAGAGGAGACACAAACGUGACGAAGAGCUUGCAGAAGAACCAAGAGAAGAACCAGAAGAGGAACGCAGCCAGGAAUCCUGGGACUUUGAUACUGGAAAAAACAAGCGCGAUUGGAGGGCUGGAAGGUUCCACCAGAGGAGACACAAGCGUGACGAAGAGCUCUCUGAGGAAGCCAGAGAAGAACCCGAUGAGGAACGCAGCCAGGAAUCCUGGGACUUUGAUACUGGAAAAAACAAGCGCGAUUGGAGGGCUGGAAGGUUCCACCAGAGGAGGCACAAGCGUGACGAAGAGCUCUCCGAGGAAGCCAGAGACGAACCCGAUGAAGAACGCAGCCAGGAAUCCUGGGACUUUGAUACUGGAAAAAACAAGCGCGAUUGGAGGGCUGGAAGGUUCCACCAGAGGAGGCACAAGCGUGACGAAGAGCUCUCAGAGGAAGCCAGAGACGAACCCGAUGAGGAACGCAGCCAAGAAUCAUGGGACUUUGAUACUGGAAGGGACAAGAGAGACUGGAGGGCCGGCAGAUUCCACCAGAGGAGACACAAGCGUGACGAAGAGCUCUCCGAGGAAGCCAGGGAUGAACCGGACGAGGAACGCAGCCAAGAAUCAUGGGACUUCGAUACUGGAAGGGACAAGAGAGACUGGAGGGCCGGCAGAUUCCACCAGAGGAGACACAAGCGUGACGAAGAGCUCUCCGAGGAAGCCAGGGACGAACCGGACGAGGAACGCAGCCAAGAAUCAUGGGACUUCGAUACUGGAAGGGACAAGAGAGACUGGAGGGCCGGCAGAUUCCACCAGAGGAGACACAAGCGUGACGAAGAGCUCUCAAAAGAACCAAGAGAAGAACCAGAUGAGGAACGCAGCCAAGAAUCAUGGGACUUUGAUACUGGAAGGGACAAGAGAGACUGGAGGGCCGGCAGAUUCCACCAGAGGAGACACAAGCGUGAUGAAGAGCUCUCAGAGGAGGCCAGAGAUGAACCAGACGAGGAACGCAGCCAAGAAUCAUGGGACUUUGAUACUGGAAGGGACAAGAGAGACUGGAGGGCCGGCAGAUUCCACCAGAGGAGACACAAGCGUGACGAAGAGCUCUCAAAAGAACCAAGAGAAGAACCAGAUGAAGAACGCAGCCAGGAAUCAUGGGACUUUGAUACUGGAAGAGACAAAAGAGAAUGGAGGGCCGGCAGAUUCCACCAGAGGAAACACAAGCGUGACGAAGAGCUCUCAGAGGAGGCCAAAGAAGAACCGGACGAGGAGCGCAGCCAGGAAUCCUGGGGACUGGACAAAAGAAACGAAGCUCUGAGGUAUCUGGCAGAGAAACGCAAUCCCUGGAUUUUCAGAGGCUAUUACCAUCCUGCGUGGUAUAAGAGGGAUUCAGAUGAGAAUGCUGCAACCUCAAAUAAGAUGGACCAACUGGCCAAGUUGCUGAGCUACAAGAUAAACCAGCUGGCAAACCACUCGAAUCCAGAGGAGGCAAAGAGGAGCACGCAACAGAAAACCCUCACUGCACAGGAGGAGAAAGAGCUGCAGAACCUCGCAGCGAUGGACAUGGAGUUGCAGAAAAUCGCUGCCAAAUUGCAUGACAACAGUGCGUAA
rnacentral:lncRNA from 1 species